rnacentral:rRNA from 1 species
AGAGUUUGAUCCUGGCUCAGGACGAACGCUGGCGGCGUGCCUAACACAUGCAAGUCGAGCGGUUCAGUGUGUAACACUGUGUACAUUUAAAUUGUGUACAGGGUGUUACACAAUGGAUAGCGGCGGACGGGUGAGUAACGCGUGAGUAAUCUACCCUAGACAGGGGGAUAACACAGGGAAACUUGUGCUAAUACCGCAUA